GACGGAGGAUGCAAGUGUUAUCCGGAAUCACUGGGCGUAAAGCGUCUGUAGGUGGUUUAAAAAGUCUAUUGUUAAAAAUUGAAGCUUAACUUCAAAGAUGCAAUGGAAACUUUUAAACUUGAGUAUGGUAGGGGUAGAGGGAAUUUCCAGUGGAGCGGUGAAAUGCGUAGAUAUUGGAAAGACCACCAACGGCGAAAGCACUCUGCUGGGCCGACACUGACACUGAGAGACGAAAGCUAGGGGAGCGAAUGGG
rnacentral:rRNA from 1 species